UGGGUAACCUGCCCCAAUGAUCGGGACAACCCGGGGAAAACCCGGAGCUAAUACCGAAUGUGCCCUCCGGCCAUCAGGUCGGUGUGUAAAGGAAGCUUCGGCCUCCGCAUUGGGAUGGGCCGCGGCCCAUUAGCUUGUUGGUGGGGUAAAGGCCCACCAAGGUUGCGACGGGUAGCUGGUCUGAGAGGAUGGCCAGCCACAUUGGGACUGAGACACGGCCCAGACUCCUACGGGAGGCAG
rnacentral:rRNA from 1 species